AUAGGUGGCAAGCGUUGUCCGGAAUUAUUGGGCGUAAAGCGCGCGCAGGUGGUUCUUUAAGUCUGAUGUGAAAGCCCCCGGCUCAACCGGGGAGGGUCAUUGGAAACUGGGGAACUUGAGUGCAGGAGAGGAAAGUGGAAUUCCACGUGUAGCGGUGAAAUGCGUAGAUAUGUGGAGGAACACCAGUGGCGAAGGUGACUUUCUGGCCUGUAACUGACACUGAGGCGCGAAAGCGUGGGGAGCAAACAGGGAUUAGAUACCCUGGUAGUCCACGCCGUAAACGAUGAGUGCUAAGUGUUGGGGGGGUUUCCGCCCCCUCAGUGCUGCAGCUAACGCAUUAGGCACUCCGCCUGGGAGUACGGCCGCAAGACUG
rnacentral:rRNA from 1 species